UCAAAUCCCGCAGCCGGCGGAUAGCGCGACGAAACGUAGUGCAAACGAGGCCAAAGUGAAAAGCCGCGCAUUAUCGACGGCCGCGCUUGUGUCUACAAUGUUCGCCCGCACGAUUCUACCUUGUACGCGAGCUGGCAGACGCGUUAUGAACGGCGUGAAAGCGAUUUCAACCCUGUUGCUUGAAACGUCGAACGGCUGGCAUUGGACGAUAUUAACGAUAACAUAUUUUCUCGAACGCGAACGUUUAAUAAGAAAUAAACCGAAUGUUAUAAAACACAGUGCUUGUACGUUACCGACUCAUACGAAUAUAUGUAUAACGAUAUCUCGAGGUGAGAGAAAUUCGGAAGACGGUAAAUCAACAUGGCGUCACCGUUCGCCAUCGUCGCCGAUAUCGAGAAAUCCUCGGAUGCAAGAUUUUUGCCGAAGAAUUUAGAAGCCUUCCAGAAACAACAGCUACGAUGUCGAAAGGCAAUACCACGUAUUUGGAGAAGAAAUUACGUUACAAGAUAACGAGUAUUAAAAAAUCUAUUAGUAAACCAUUAUUUCUAACAGUAUAAUAAAUAUCAUAGCUGGAUGAUCAACGGCUAGCAAAAUCCAUCGAAGUUGACAGAAACGCAGGAACCGACAUUGACGCGUCACCGGUGGAAAAACCUCAUGAGAACAUCGGAUAUCCGGUGCAUUCAGCUUCACCCUAAUGUAUUCACCAUAGCGUAACAGAUAGCUGGAACAUUAGAGCAAAUCGAACGAAAGAGGACGAUCAAUUUUUCUACAUUAACUCCGAAUGCCUAUUUAUCUCGUGAGAUCAAGGAGUUCUUUUUGGUCCGAUGACGUCUGAAGAACAAGUUUCUCGAACGGAGCAUUCCUAUCAAUGACAAAAUCUUUUCGAGAGGAACCCGAUUAAUCUCGGAUAAAACGACACCGAGAAAAGAAACGAAGAUUCGUUGGAAAUGAGUGAAAGUAUAGCGGUACAUUGUACAGCUCGCCGAAUUCCUCGGAGAAAUUUCGAAACUUCAUUAGCACCGACAAGAUUGACACAGUACAGUAAAUUCUCCCCAAUUUUCCUUCAGCUUGUAAACAAAAAUGGACAAUUUGGGAGG